AGAUGAAUCAAAAGAGGGGGUCCCAUGAAAUUUAAAGUCAUCUUCAGGGCAUACAGGAAGACAGGUGUGUGCAUGGUGUGUCNGUCAGCUCGCUGUCGUGAGAUGUUGGGGUUUAUGUCCCGCCAACGAGCGCACACCCUUAUACUUCAGUUAGCCACGCGGUCAAGGGCGGGGCAUCCUCCUGGGAAGAACACGUGCCGAGGGAUAUAACCGUGGAGGGAAGGGUGGGGAUGACGAUCAAAAUACUAUUCCAUCGCCCCUUUUAUUGAUCNCGUGGGUCUGACCAACCAACUGUUGCUAACAAUGGGUCGUAAACAAAGGGAGGCAGACGCCGC
rnacentral:rRNA from 1 species